GACGAACGCUGGCGGUGUGCUUAACACAUGCAAGUCGAACGGUAAGGCCCUUUCGGGGGUACACGGGUGGCGAACGGGUGAGUAACACGUGAGUAACCUGCCCUCAUCUCUGGGAUAACAGUCGGAAACGGUUGCUAAUACUGGAUAUGAGCUUGCAAGGCAUCUUGUGGGUUGGAAAGAUUUUUUUUGGUUGGGGAUGGACUCGCGGCCUAUCAGCUUGUUGGUGAGGUAGUGGCUCACCAAGGCUUCGACGGGUAGCCGGCCUGAGAGGGCGACCGGCCACAUUGGGACUGAGAUACGGCCCAAACUCCUACGGGAGGCAGCAGUGGGGAAUAUUGCACAAUGGACGGAAGUCUGAUGCAGCAACGCCGCGUGCGGGAUGACGGCCUUCGGGUUGUAAACCGCUUUCAAUUGUGACGAAGCUUUUUUGUGACGGUAGCAGUAGAAGAAGCACCGGCUAACUACGUG
rnacentral:rRNA from 1 species